rfam:Gossypium arboreum cultivar AKA8401 contig_155172_1, whole genome shotgun sequence.
UGUUAAAAAUGGUCUAUAUCUACUGUUAAAAACUGGCGUAGAUGAUGAAAUGACCAAACACUUGCACGUGGUGUGCCACAUAUACCUAAUGCUAAUGUAUAAGGACUAAUUUUUAAUAGUAAAAAUUAAUAAAAUUUUUAACA